GAGGAUUGAUUAGGAAAAGAUUGAUAAAUGCGAAUGUGAUUUAAUUACGCUUCAAAAAUCGCUGAGUUCGCUUGUCGAUUGAAUUUAGGUUUUCGAUUCUCGGUGUGGUUUUGAGUUGUCUGCAGUGUUUUAAAGCUUUGAUUUGGGUUGUCAAUGGAGACUACUUUGACUGUUCACAAGAUUCCUAGUGAGUCAUUUUCCAAGGGACACAAAAGGAUAAAACUAUCUGACGAUGGUGUUAAAUGUGGUAGCGUUAUUGAUUAUUC
rnacentral:misc_RNA from 1 species